rnacentral:rRNA from 1 species
AUUCCGACUUCCCCAGAGCCUCCGGUAGCACAGCCGAGACAGCGGCGGGUUCUCUGCCCCUGCGGGGAUGGAGCGACAGAAGUAUUGAGAAUCCAAGAUAAGGUCACGGCGAGACGAGCCGUUUAUCAUUACGAUAGGUGUCAAGUGGAAGUGCAGUGAUGUAUGCAGCUGAGGCAUCCUAACAGACCGAGAGAUUUGAACCUUGUUCCUACACGACCUGAUCAAUUCGAUCAGGCACUCGCCAUCUAUUUUCAUUAUGAA